rnacentral:rRNA from 1 species
AGAUUAGAUACCCUGUUAUUCCAGCCGUAAAAUCUUCUAUACGCUAGAAAACUACGAACAACAGUUUAAAACUCAAAGAACUUGGCGGUUUUUCAAAACUACCUGGAGGAGCUUGCUCUUUAAUCCGAUAACCCACGAAAAACCUCACCAACCCUAGCAAAAUCAGCCUGUAUACCAUCGUCGUCAGCUUACCCCGCGAGAGCAAAAGUAAACACAAAGAAUAAAACUUCAUUCUUACUCUUUACGUCAGAUCGAGGUGCAGCCCAUGAGUUGGAAACAAGUGAGCUACAAUAACAACAACAAUCUAAAAAAGAUAUGAAAUCAACUAUGAAAAAACAGAAAAAAAAGGAUUCAGUAGUAAUAUUUAAAAGAAAAUAAAUAUGAAAAAUUAUAAAGCUCUGAAAUUCGCACACAUCGCCCGU